UGAAACCGUUUAGGGGUAAACCUGAGAAACCCGAAAGGUCGAAGGGAGAAAUUCAUUCGCGUCUCGAGGCAGGCGUCGGACGGGGUCGAGCGACGGAACGGGCGCGCGUUUUUCUUCGGAAUCGCGCGUUCGACUUCGCGCCCUCCGUCCGUUCGAACCGGCAGCGAACGCGUGCACUUUUCUCCUGGUAGGACGUCGCGAUCCGUCGGGCGUCGGUCUACGACUUGCGGCGGAGACCGUCCGUCGUUCUUCGGAACGUACGGCGCGGACCCGCUCGUUCCGGCCGACUCGCUCGACGGUACAAAUCGAGGUCUGGGGUCGCUGCUACUUUUAGUCUCGCGUUCGCGCGAGACGAAAAAGAGAGCGUUCGACUCGUCGCAAGCGCGUCACGUGCGUCGGCACGCGGACCCGGUGCCGCGUCCGAUCUCUGGCGACUGUUGGCGACGAUUAGUUCUCGAACAGACUUCCCUCUCGGGGGUGGGGGGAGAGAGGGGUCAAACUCUUUCUCUCUCUCUCUCUCUCGAAGACCGAUCGGCGACGCUAUAGCUUUGGGUACUUUCAGGACCCGUCUUGAAACACGGACCAAGGAGUCUAGCAUGUACGCGAGUCAUUGGGAUUUUUACUAAACCUAAAGGCGCAAUGAAAGUGAAGGUUUUCCUCGCGAAGACCGUGGGAAGACGGACGGGUGUUGGUUAAAGGUACGAGGUACACCGACUCGAUCGCCCGUCCCGCAUUCCCGGGGCGUCUCGUUCGCAUCGCGCGAAGAGGCGCACCGCGAGCGUACACGCUGGGACCCGAAAGAUGGUGAACUAUGCCUGGUCAGGACGAA
rnacentral:rRNA from 1 species